rnacentral:rRNA from 1 species
AAAUUGAAGAGUUUGAUCAUGGCUCAGAUUGAACGCUGGCGGCAGGCCUAACACAUGCAAGUCGAACGGUAACAGGAAGCAGCUUGCUGCUUUGCUGACGAGUGGCGGACGGGUGAGUAAUGUCUGGGAAACUGCCUGAUGGAGGGGGAUAACUACUGGAAACGGUGGCUAAUACCGCAUAACGUCGCAAGACCAAAGAGGGGGACCUUCGGGCCUCUUGCCAUCAGAUGUGCCCAGAUGGGAUUAGCUUGUUGGUGAGGUAACGGCUCACCAAGGCGACGAUCCCUAGCUGGUCUGAGAGGAUGACCAGCCACACUGGAACUGAGACACGGUCCAGACUCCUACGGGAGGCAGCAGUGGGGAAUAUUGCACAAUGGGCGCAAGCCUGAUGCAGCCAUGCCGCGUGUAUGAAGAAGGCCUUCGGGUUGUAAAGUACUUUCAGCGGGGAGGAAGGUGUUGUGGUUAAUAACCGCAGCAAUUGACGUUACCCGCAGAAGAAGCACCGGCUAACUCCGUGCCAGCAGCCGCGGUAAUACGGAGGGUGCAAGCGUUAAUCGGAAUUACUGGGCGUAAAGCGCACGCAGGCGGUCUGUCAAGUCGGAUGUGAAAUCCCCGGGCUCAACCUGGGAACUGCAUUCGAAACUGGCAGGCUUGAGUCUUGUAGAGGGGGGUAGAAUUCCAGGUGUAGCGGUGAAAUGCGUAGAGAUCUGGAGGAAUACCGGUGGCGAAGGCGGCCCCCUGGACAAAGACUGACGCUCAGGUGCGAAAGCGUGGGGAGCAAACAGGAUUAGAUACCCUGGUAGUCCACGCCGUAAACGAUGUCUACUUGGAGGUUGUGCCCUUGAGGCGUGGCUUCCGGAGCUAACGCGUUAAGUAGACCGCCUGGGGAGUACGGCCGCAAGGUUAAAACUCAAAUGAAUUGACGGGGGCCCGCACAAGCGGUGGAGCAUGUGGUUUAAUUCGAUGCAACGCGAAGAACCUUACCUGGUCUUGACAUCCACAGAAGAAUCCAGAGAUGGAUUUGUGCCUUCGGGAACUGUGAGACAGGUGCUGCAUGGCUGUCGUCAGCUCGUGUUGUGAAAUGUUGGGUUAAGUCCCGCAACGAGCGCAACCCUUAUCCUUUGUUGCCAGCGGUUAGGCCGGGAACUCAAAGGAGACUGCCAGUGAUAAACUGGAGGAAGGUGGGGAUGACGUCAAGUCAUCAUGGCCCUUACGACCAGGGCUACACACGUGCUACAAUGGCGCAUACAAAGAGAAGCGACCUCGCGAGAGCAAGCGGACCUCAUAAAGUGCGUCGUAGUCCGGAUUGGAGUCUGCAACUCGACUCCAUGAAGUCGGAAUCGCUAGUAAUCGUGGAUCAGAAUGCCACGGUGAAUACGUUCCCGGGCCUUGUACACACCGCCCGUCACACCAUGGGAGUGGGUUGCAAAAGAAGUAGGUAGCUUAACCUUCGGGAGGGCGCUUACCACUUUGUGAUUCAUGACUGGGGUGAAGUCGUAACAAGGUAACUGUAGGGGAACCUGCGGUUGGAUCACCUCCUUACCUUAAAGAAGC